GACGAACGCUAGCGGCGUGCUUAACACAUGCAAGUCGAACGGAAAGGCCCUGCUUUUGUGGGGUGCUCGAGUGGCGAACGGGUGAGUAACACGUGAGUAACCUGCCCUUGACUUUGGGAUAACUUCAGGAAACUGGGGCUAAUACCGGAUAGGAGCUCCUGCUGCAUGGUGGGGGUUGGAAAGUUUCGGCGGUUGGGGAUGGACUCGCGGCUUAUCAGCUUGUUGGUGGGGUAGUGGCUUACCAAGGCUUUGACGGGUAGCCGGCCUGGGAGGGUGACCGGCCACAUUGGGACUGAGAUACGGCCCAGACUCCUACGGGAGGCAGCAGUGGGGAAUAUUGCACAAUGGGCGGAAGCCUGAUGCAGCAACGCCGCGUGCGGGAUGACGGCCUUCGGGUUGUAAACCGCUUUCGCCUGUGACGAAGCGUGAGUGACGGUAAUGGGUAAAGAAGCACCGGCUAACUACGUG
rnacentral:rRNA from 1 species